AGAGUUUGAUCCUGGCUCAGAUUGAACGCUGGCGGAAUGCUUUACACAUGCAAGUCGAACGGCAGCACGGGGGCAACCCUGGUGGCGAGUGGCGAACGGGUGAGUAAUACAUCGGAACGUGCCCAAUCGUGGGGGAUAACUACGCGAAAGCGUAGCUAAUACCGCAUACGAUCUACGGAUGAAAGCGGGGGAUCGCAAGACCUCGCGCGAAUGGAGCGGCCGAUGGCAGAUUAGGUAGUUGGUGGGGUAAAGGCUCACCAAGCCUGCGAUCUGUAGCUGGUCUGAGAGGACGACCAGCCACACUGGGACUGAGACACGGCCCAGACUCCUACGGGAGGCAGCAGUGGGGAAUUUUGGACAAUGGGCGCAAGCCUGAUCCAGCCAUUCCGCGUGCAGGAUGAAGGCCCUCGGGUUGUAAACUGCUUUUGUACGGAACGAAACGCGCUGAGUUAAUACCUCGGCGUAAUGACGGUACCGUAAGAAUAAGCACCGGCUAACUACGUGCCAGCAGCCGCGGUA
rnacentral:rRNA from 1 species